UACGGAGGUGGCAAGCGUUGUUCGGAAUUACUGGGCGUAAAGGGCGCGUAGGCGGCUAUGGCAAGUCAGAUGUGAAAGCCCCGGGCUUAACCUGGGAAUUGCAUCUGGAAACUGUUGUGCUUGAGUUCUGGAGGGGGUAGUGGAAUUCCCAGUGUAGCGGUGAAAUGCGUAGAUAUUGGGAGGAACACCUGCGGCGAAGGCGGCUACCUGGACAGAUACUGACGCUGAGGCGCGAAAGCUAGGGGAGCAAACGGGGAUUAGAUACCCUGGUA
rnacentral:rRNA from 1 species